rnacentral:lncRNA from 13 species
GCCUCUUGCCCAUCCAACUGCUCUCAGCCUCUUGCCCAUCCAACUGCUCUCAGCCUCUUGCCCAUCCAACUGCUCUCAGCCUCUUGCCCAUCCAACUGCUCUCAGCCUCUUGCCCAUACAACAGCUCUCAGCCUCUUGUCCAUCCAACAUCUCUGUCUCUUGCCCAUCCAACUGCUCUCAGCCUCUUGUCCAUCAUCUCUCAGCCUCUUGCCUUGAUCUGUUUGGCCCUCCUCACAUCAUCUCAAUACAUUCACCGCACCGUCCACCAAAGCCUGUUCUCCUGAGCUGCCCUGUGAUCUGCCAUUCCAAAAUACAAUAUGUACCUUGUUGUUCUAUUUGUGAAGGAAAACACAACUGGACCAGUGGCACAGGAGUGGUUUAAAGAUGGGCUGGAAUGGUGGCCUCCUUAUGUAAGACAGGAAUACAAUUAUUGACUGUCAAGAAAAGGUUAACUCCAAACCCCCCCAAAAAUCUGUAAGGAGUUUGCUGCACGCCUGCUCUUCCAA